GACAGAGGGUGCAAACGUUGUUCGGAAUUACUGGGCGUAAAGCGCGUGUAGGCUGCUUCAUAAGUCGGAUGUGAAAUCCCUCGGCUCAACCGGGGAACUGCGUCUGAUACUGGGUGGCUUGAAUCCGGGAGAGGGAUGCGGAAUUCCAGGUGUAGCGGUGAAAUGCGUAGAUAUCUGGAGGAACACCGGUGGCGAAGGCGGCAUCCUGGACCGGCAUUGACGCUGAGGCGCGAAAGCCAGGGGAGCAAACGGG
rnacentral:rRNA from 1 species